AACGUAGGAGCCAAGCGUUAUCCGAAUUCACUGGGCGUAAAGCGCGUGCAGGCGGCCUGAUAAGUUGGAUGUGAAAUCUCCUGGCUCAACUGGGAGAGGCCGUUCAAUACUGUUGGGCUAGAGGGCGACAGAGGGAGGUGGAAUUCCGGGUGUAGUGGUGAAAUGCGUAGAUAUCCGGAGGAACACCAGAGGCGAAGGCGACCUCCUGGGUCGCACCUGACGCUCAGACGCGAAAGCUAGGGGAGCGAACGGG
rnacentral:rRNA from 1 species